CCCGCCACUAUGCCCGUCUGUCUCCGUGACGGAGUGUAAUCCAGUGGAGGCUCAGAGGGACCCGGCUUUAGGAAACAGGGCUGCCCCGAACCCAUGGGCAACUCUGUGCCGCAAAGACUGGAACAAAC